UCCCUGCGUUGCCUAGGGUAAAGCCUCCAG
rnacentral:piRNA from 1 species